AGAGCUGAAGGAGCUUCCUAACAUCCAACUUAAAUCAUCUCUGCUGCAAAUGGAGCCUCUCUCUCCUUGUCCUGUCCCUCUGCUGAAUACAGAGAGCAAUCCAUCUGUGUCCUUGUCUAAAAACCUUAUAUACAGAAAUAUUUUUCUCGCUGCCUUCUGGUCCUUUCUUUUUUUUGGGCAAAAUAAAUGCAAUUCCUUCAAUUUGCCUCCCAAGGUCAGAUUUUCAUAGCAUUUAUCUCUUUUGCAGUGUGAUGCCAAGAAUGGCACACAGCCCUCUGGAUGUCCCACCUGCUACGAGCAAAGCAGAACAGUCAGCCCCAGAGUGCCAUUUCGGUCUCUCCUCUCAAAGGGAACCUGGUAGAACUUGAUGAGAAACAGCAAAAGGCUGCAUGGAUGGUCAAAGGGAUGCCGUGGCAUCUGCACCAAGCAGGAGAUGAGAUCCUUCAGGCAGUGAAAGACCAGAGACAGGCUGGGUGACGGAGGCAGGGCAGGAUUGGCCCCUCAGCCUCCUCUUGGUGUCCCAAGCAGUGAUGUUCUCAGCAGGAUCCCUCCAGGCAGCGCAGAAGAUGCAGUCAAACACAGAUGCGUAUUUUGGACAGAGAAGGCUGCAGAUGCCCUCUGCACAUCCUUGCCCCCUUCCUGUCUUUGCAAAGCUCCAGCAUGGCUCAGAAGAGAAUGGGCCGCAGGACAAGCCUCUACUCUGCUUUCAUUCCUCUGCUUCUGUCUUGCUGCAGAGACACGGGGGAGCCAUGGUUACUCCAAACAGCUCAGCUCACAGAAGCAGCUAAAUUACUGUAUGCCCCAGCACCAGGGAAAAAGCUUCCGGGGAUCUGAGGACAGCUCUGGCCUGAUCACAAGAGAGGGAAGUCUGAGUGCAGCUCUAUCCUGAGUGUGUGAGCAUCGCUGACUUUGUCACCUCUCCCUUUCCUUGGCUUAGUUCCCCCACAGCCAUUUCUCAUCAGAGUAAGUCGUGCCACACGGAGAGCUUGUUUUGCAAGCGCAGGUGUCUCCAGCAUCCCUCUGCCCUCCCAUCUCCAGCCGUGCUGCCCUAUCUCCCCCCUGUACCCAGGUGCCGUUUCUGGAUGCCCACUGCUGCGAGCAGGCAUGGGAUGGCAGCACAUGGGUCUGGCUGGCAGGGCCCUAACAGCCAGAGGGACCAGGAUUAGCAGCUGCCACGGGAUCCCUGUUGUUCCACAUACUCUGCCAGCCCUGUUAUCCUCUGCAGCCUUCCCACCCUCCAGCGACGCCCAGAAUUUCUGUAACACAGACUCCUCUCAUAGGGAGGCACCAGAGGGCAGAGAAUAAGGAUUCUGCUUGUGGCUGUCAGAAACCUGGAUCAUCUUUCUCACCCUAUUCCCUGUCCCGUGCCACUGUUUCCUGGCUGGAGCACAGAUUCACUUAUGGGAUUAGUCCGUGUGACUGCUUAGGGCUGAGGAUGGCCAGAUUCUUCCCAUCCAAUUAGUUUUCAUCCUGACAGUCCCUUUGGACUCCAGUGAGGUCAGGCGCUUUGCAACUGAGGAGUGAAUCUUCCCUAAGCCUGCAGAGUUUCAUGCAUGGAAGCAACGCCGUGUGCAUUUCUUCCCCGGGAGUGGGUGCAGUGCAGACCUGGCAACAUUAGAGGGAGCUUUGGGAAGGGGUCUGAGAAGAGUCGGGAACAAUAACUAGAUGUAAAUUACAUUUUGCGAGUUUGUUUAAAUAAGGGAUCUGGUUUAAUCCCAUCGACUGCUUGCUUAGUGUACAGCUGAAAAUUAGCAUCAACAAUUUUAUGCGUGCUAAUAAAUUUAAGCCAUUACUCUCUCCAUCUGCAGCUUCAUUCAUAUAGUUUAAGAAUCAAAGCGAUUUCCCUGUAAAUUUCUAAGGCUUGGUAAUUUACUCCAAAGAAUGUAAAUAGAAAGUGCCUGAAGGCCCAGGGAAACAGUCUUAAAAGCCCUCCCUCCCUCUGCUCCUCCUCUUCCAGCUCAUCUCUGGUGAAGGCGGUGCAAGAUACCCAACCUGGGGAGCCAAGGUGGGUUAUGGGGCCGUGGGACGCUGCCACCUCAGGUUGGCCAUGCAGGGCGAGCUGUGCCAGGGCUGCUGGCAGCCCUCUUGGCGUGAGUACGGGGCUGUGCUCUGGGGCGGCUGUGAGGAAAUCAAUCAUCUUUUAUUGUUCUUCGCUCCUCGGGUUGGGGUGGAACAUUCCUCCUAAAGAGAAACUUGUUAUCCUCUCCGGCAGCGUCCCGGCCAAAUUCCUGCCAUCGGUGGCUAUAAAUAUCCCAGUACAUGAGAAGGGCAUGUGGGCAUGGCUCCCAGGGCAGCCAACAGCCCAACGCUUCCCAGCCAUGCCAUCAAACCACUGUGAGGGCUUUCCAAAUGGCUGGGGAGCUCGUGUCCUCCUCACCUCAAAUACCAAGGUGAAAGAGGCAAACUGUGGCAAGAAACCCAGCUGGCCAGGCGCUCCCACUGCAGGGCUUUAGGCUUGGUCCAUCCAACUGAGCAAGGACAAAGCUGGGAUAAAGAUCUCUAUCUUAAUGUGCUUACGGUAUGAAGCUUUGAAACAUGGUUGAUUAAGAUCAGAAAGUCUCUCUAUUUUUUUUUUCCUUUUUGAGGGUUUCAACAGUGCCUUAUUCCAAUAAAUACUCUAAAAGUCAUAGCAGCCCUGUUGCAAGAAUUGUGUGGCCAGGAACCUGCUUAUGCUUUUUUGUAGUAUGGGAAAUAUAUCUAAACCAGCCCGUAGAAGAGCUUAACUUCAGCAAUCAAGAGACAAAAUUAAUGAAACACUAUUUUGCUCAGGUAAGGUGGAAUUACUCUCUCUGUUCCACAAGUGACAAAUCUGUGGGUUAUACAGUGGGUCUGCAACUGAGCCAGAGGGUGUUCAGUGGAAACCAGGGGAGGGAUGCUGCACAGACAUGGCAAGAAACAUCUUUCUAGGAGUAAAUCCAGGCUUAUAUGUGAGAAACGUCUGGCUAUGUAAGAACUGAAGCUGUGGGAUUUGGACUGGCAUCGGGACUACCAUUUUUAAAAGCUUGUACAACCCCCAGCACAACAAAGGGCUGAUCAGAGCUCUGCGAAAUGCAGAAGUUGGCUAAAUCCAGAGGGGAGAAGGAAGUCUGAGAGUUCCAGAUGUGCAGCACUUAAUUAGAAAUGUCCAUCUUGUUCCCCCUCUUCUUUCACUGAUUUCAAACUACCUGCAAAGGAAAGCCCUCAAGGAACACUCAGUGCAGAUCAGAUUAAUUAAUUUUGUUUUCAUUUCAAGGUUUAAAAGCAUCCUACUUUUUCAACGUUGAGACAAGAAGUCAUGUCUUGACCAACGCCAUACUGCUUCUCAUGAGAGCCAAGAGCCAUGCCCAAGAGCACCCAGAGGGAAUCGUGCUGAGACUGGGGGCUCUGGAAGGCGCAGAAGGAUCAUCAUGGGUCAUCAUCACCAUCAUGACCCAUGUAAUGGAUGCAGGACUCUGAACCCAAAGGAUGAUCACUAUAGGAGGACCACCAUCAGCCAGUGGAUUUCUUUGGAGUCAGAUUAAGCAGCUGUUUUGGGAUCCAGAUGUGAUUUACCAGCUGGUUCUACAGAACCAGCCAUUGUUGCAUGGCUUACACCAGCUGUGAAUCCAGCCAGCCAGAGCUGGGACGUCUUCAUAAGCCAUUGCCUAGUGAUCCACACCCAUGGUGAUCCACACUAGGCAAUUAGUCCUUGGUGUCCAGGAGCAAGGAAGGCUUUAGGCUGGCUGUAGAGAAGCUCCCAGAAGCACCUUUUGCUCAAGGUGACUCAUGGAGGGGCAUCUUCAUCCUGGAGACGAUGCAUGAGACAAGCACCCGCCUGACUGCUUGCAAGACCAUGGCAGCAGGUGAGGUGUAGGACUGGGAUGACAUGAAUCUGGCCCAGAUGUGCUCCCACCAGGCUGUGGAAGCAGAGCAGCUGCACUGCCUCAGUGUGCGACGUUCUUACCACUUCUAGAGAGAGGAGGCUGAAUGAGCUCGGCUUGUUUAGCCCAGCAUGACACCCGCUGAGAGGGGAUCUGAUUGCCAUCCAUAAAUACGUCAACGGGGUUAACAGCAGGGAAGAGCCGCUGAAGCUAAAAGAGGACAUUGGCACUGGAGCAAACAAGGCUAAAGCAGAAGGGAAGAAAUGUAGGCUGGGAAUUAAGCAGCAGGUUCGCAACCAUCAGAGCAAAGAGAGGUUGGAACAACCACUGCAUUGAUUUGGUGUGAUCCAAAGUCACUGCUUGUGUAAGGCAGAGCCAGUUCAGACCAAGCAGGGGUUGCUGUGCUGGGUGCAACACAGGCGGUUGUCCCCACCCCUGUUUUGUAUCCCACGUGAAGUGAGGAAUUGCUGAGGAUGGGCACCUCUCAUGUAUUACUGUUGAUGGAGGUGCUGGCUCUGGCAUCCCCCUUUCUCCGCCAGGUGUGACAGCUUCUCUGCUGGGAUGUGCUCCAGUUCCUGGCCCCAGUGGGUAGCUGGAUUUUCAGCCUUCUGCACCAUGUUGGAUAUUAGGAAAAAUUCCUUCUCAGAAAGAGUGCUGAGGCAUUGGUGCAGGCUGCCCAGGGAGGUGGUGGAGUUGCAAUCCCUGGAGGUGUUCAAGAAAAGGGUACGUGUGGCACUGAGUGACAUGGUCUAGAGUGGUUGCAGGCAUGGGCUGGUAGUUGGAUUUGAAGGUCUUAGUGGUCAUUCCAGCCUUAAUGAUCCUAUGAUUCUGUGAUUCUAUGAUUUUCUGUUCAGCCUGUCCAAGGGAGGACUUGUUGUGUUAGCAGGAGCAUCUUGGCAUAUGUCUUUGAGGCUACCAGAGCUUUCAGGGUCAUUUCUCUAUGGGUGGUUAGUAGGACAGCUCUGCUCAAAGUCAUAUUUCUCUUUUCCUCCUUCAGAUCUUUGCUGCCUUUGUGUCCCUUCCUCAGACAGACCUCACCUCAAGGAUUCAGGCCUCAUUCAGCCUGUUACCAUGGCUCAUUCUGCUGUGUGCAUCUUGCCUGGCCCAGUGCAGACCCUUUGCCCCACCCCAUGCUCUGGUGUGCAGCUUCCAGUGGCAUCAAGAGCAGUUUUUGCUUGGCUGAAGAGCUGCUAUGUCUCCCAGGCAGUCGCCAGCAGACCUGGAUAGUGAAGAUGAAUACCUCUGCAUUAGAUCCUGCAGCCUGAUGUGGGUUUGGAUGCUGAGGGAUGCUGGGGCACCAUAUGGCAUGGGUAAGUUUGGGUGAAUCCAGCUGCAACGAUGCUAUCCCCACAUCUCCUAGAGGAAACCCCACUAGAGCAGCAGUGCCUGCUGCUGAUGAAUGUGCUUUUGUAGAGUGGCAGUUUUGUAGGCCAUGUUCUCUUCUGCUCCUUUGGUUCUAAAGCUGGCAAUGACCAGCAGAAGGGCAGCCAGUGAGGGACAGCAUGGGACAGCCCAAAUGCUGAGGAUGGGGUCAGAUGACCCCAGACCCACAGCUGGCCCUUUGCACCUUAGCAACUGCACGGUUGCACAUAGAUGUCUCUCCAUGCUGAUGCUAAAAGCCUGUGGCAGCUCGGGUGGCCCUGGGUUGGAUGCGCUCAGCUGUCCCGACUGCGGAGGGCAGCAACAUCUGGGGAAGCAUGAGGGAAUGGCUGCAAAUUGAUGCCUCCCACCUGCCUCUCAUUUGCACCAGGAGCUUGGGUGCAUGGUGCUGACAGCGUGUGAUGGGUCGGGGCUGUGGGCAGCCAGCUGGAGCCCAGGCAGAGCAAACAACAGGGCUCAGCCAUCAGCUGGGUUUCAUGCAAGGAGCCUGGUCUGCUUCCACUUCCACCUGGCCUGAAGUGUCUAUGGGAGAUGUGGGUGGCUAUCGGGGUGCCUGGGGAUUUGGAGUUCCCCGGUUCCUUUUUUUCCUUUACAUCCAAAUGCUGCAGCGUUUUGUGAGGAAUUGAAUUUAGUUCUGUUGUUCUUUGAGUCUGUGCCCUGGAAUUCCCUCACUCCCAGUACCUCCUCCCUCCAGCACGUGCUUGGGAAACUGCUGGGAAGCAAAGCCCCUCUGACACUCAGCUAAUCCUCUCUGCCUCACCCCUCCUGCUGUGCCCUGAGCUGAUACCUCUCCCUCUGGGUGAACAGAUCUUAACCCAGCGACCAUCUUCAUAGAGCAAAACCCACCUGCAGCACCAAUGCCACCUUCCAACCACCUCAUCCCAAAGCAUCACACUCCCACUGCCUUGGGACAAGCGCCCAGCAGUGCUGUCCAUGGCAAACACCAUCACAGCAGCUAUGGGAACUAUGGGAACCCCGGCCCCCAUCCCAUCCUACCCUCCUAGCACAACGUAAGUGUUGAAAUAUGGCUCUUUUUCACUUCCAGUUAUGAGAGGUGGGUUUCCUGCAUCGAUCUGUCUCUCUCAUACACAUUCAUAACAUUCAAAUUUAUAAUGUAAUCUUACUCGCCGUUCCAUAUUUAUGAGAAGUUUUGAUGGGUGUUUCUUUAUGUGAUAAUAUCAAGCAGAAUGCUAACCCAUUGCCUCAAACCACUGUAAAGUCGUUUUCUUACAUAAUUGACACCAGCAUAUUCUUUCAUUAUACAAGAUUUAGCAUGCAUCUGCUCCACCAUUGCACGGCAAUAGAUGACUUUUUCCAGAGCCUCCUAUUAUCAAUUCAAAUUAGCCCCAUUUCCCGAAGCUACUGUAUGGAUUUUACAGUUGACAGUAAGGGAAAAACACAGGAGCAUAAUGACUCUAUUAAAUUAUUCAGGCCUAGUUAAACCCAGUUCGGUCUGAACUGGAGAGCAAGGAGACAGGGAAGUGGGGGGAGAAAGGGGAAGAAAGCCCUAAACUCCACACAACCCAUUGGUUAUAAAAUGCAGCCAUCUUUACUGUGAGUUAUAGUGUGAAUCACCUGCAAGAGGCCAGGAAGUCCUUAAUCAAAGAGAAAAGUCUGUCGUAUCACAGCACAUUCGUUUUAUUUAAGGUAAUUGGGUUCAGCGAGAGGCUAAGAGGAAAAGUUUGGGGAAGAGAUGGACGUUUAUCACCUUUUAUCUUCUCCAAAUGUUGUUCCUGCUUGGUUUUCUUUUAAAACCAUCCCGCAGGGCUUCUGCUUCUGUUAGUCCCAUGUCACUGCUGGUCCUUCUGCAGGAAGGAGUGGUUGGGUUCCUUCUGCAAGGGAAACUAAGGCACUUAGGACAUGGUUUGGUGGCCAUGGCUUGGUUUGACAAGAUGAUCUUUGUGGUCUUCUCCAACCCUAACAAUUUUAUGAUCCUAUGAUACCAUGAAGCUCUACAAAUGGAAAACUCAGCCCCGGGCAUUAGUGGUGCUCCCACUACUUUGCCCCGGUUACCAACCUGUCCCAGUGCCUGCCCAUGUCCUACAGUCGAACACAGGGAACGGUUUGCAGCUUGUCCAGCUGUGGGUUUCUUUGCCCUUUAACCAACAGCACCAACCCCACAGCACUCUGUUUCCAUCCCUGCUGUAGCCUGAAGACUUUCAUGAGCAAAGCCUUGCACUAGCCCAUGCUCACGGAGAAAUGGGUGAGCAGUGGAACAAAACAGGAGCGAUUCAGAGCCUGUUGUUUUCUUUUUGGGGAGGAUGGAGGCAGAAAAACAGCUGGAAAGGAGACAAAGGUCUGAAGGAGCUUUGUAGGAUGUGCUGGCUUGAGCUCAAAAGACGCACCAAUAGGCUUCUCCCAGCUGCUGGAUGUGCUCGCCCAGGUUGAAAGCACUGAGCCCUGCCCACACAGCACACUUGUUGCCUGACAGAUUGAUGUAGUGCAGCGUGUUCUCUCUCUGCUGGUGGCUUUAUCUCACACGUUGGCUGCGAGGUCUCUUAUGGAGUGAAGAUCGUCCUUCAGAUCUAAGGGCCUUGCACUGACUUCCCCCAUGGGGUUAGGCAGGUCAAUUGAGCCCCAGACUAUGGACUGCAGGUUUGUGGUGCCUUGAAAUGUCUGGGGCAUAUGAGAGCAAGGUGGGAGCUGGCAUCACCCUGGCGAAGGCGAUUUGCUGUGCGUUAGAAAUGGUAAUGGCCUUAAGUGGCACCACGGGAGGUUCAGGUUGGAUGUUAGGAAAAACUUAUUCUCCAAAAGAGUGGUUGGGCUCUGAAACAGGCUGUCUAGGGAGGUGGUGGAGUCACCAUCCGUGGAGGUGUUCAGGAAAUGUAGGGAUGUGGCGUUUAGGGAUAUAUGUUAGUGGGCAUGGUGGGGGUGGGUUGGCAGUUGGAUGGAUGAUCUCAGUGCUCUUUUCCAGCCUUAAUGAUUCCACAGUUCUAUGAAAUUAGCCUCUGUGAUCACGAGCAAAAUGCUGAUGGAGAACAACAUUACCCUUUAUCCCUAUGGUGUGCUCAGAGGAGCUUGUAGCAUUGCUUGUGUCUCAUUUGGGUCUUCCUCUCACACGGGUCUUUCUCCUCUUCUCCUUUUUGUGUUCAGGCUUUCCUCACCCUUGUUUUCCCACCCCUCCAGCAGCCUGUCCUUGGGGGCUCGGAGCAAUAGGGCCCAAGAGAGCCUAUUCCAGGGGAACUGGGCCCAGUGAGGUGCUGGUUGAAUGGGAAAGGAAUCCUUUAAAGAAGCAGGGAAGAAAUUGGAUCGUCACAGGACUGUUAAAGAGCCAGGCUGAGGACCUCUGCCCCAGUUCAUAUCAUCUCUCCUCACUCAUCAGAUCCUCAAAUGUUCUAAAGCCCAACUUAUAACACUGGGCAGACCCAAGGAGCCCUUAAGUGGUGGGAGGCACAAUGUCCCCAGUCACAUGCACGUGCUUCAGCGUGCUUCAGCGGCAGCGUGGGGCUCAGCCCAGCCCACUGAGUGCAUGGGUGCCCAGCUCCCGUCACCACCUGCUCUUCCAUCCACGCUUCUGCUUUUCAGGGCCUGCCUCGCAUCCCCCAGCCCCAGCCUCAGGGCUGAGCUUUUCAGAAAACUUGCGUCGAAGGGCGAAGUCUCCGCAUAGUUCAGCAGCAGCUGUUUUGCCUGAUUUAUUGGCUGUUGCAAGGGCCUGUGCAAAUGUAGCAAAGUAGUUUAUUAUCGCUAGAUAGAUCCAGUGCCCCCUGCCUGGCAGAUGACGGAUGACCUGAUCCGGCAGCUUAUUUAACACCUGUUCUGCUUUAAGCACGUGGGCCCGACCCUUUGAAGUCCUCUGGGAGCGGUGGCGGAGCUCAUGUGCUCACAGUCUGAGUGUGUGCCUCAAUACUGGCAUGGAAUGGGGUCCUUGUGGGGCUUGGCUUUGGAAACAGUGAGGGACAGGGUAGGAUAGGGGUGCUGGAGUCAGUGAUAGAGAAGGGGUGUUCUCGCUGGGGAAAUGAGAGCAGCAUGACUCCGUCACCCGGCUGCAAAGUGGGCCACCAUUUUCCAGCAGUGAUGCCUGGUGUUAUGACAGCUCUUAAUUAAGCUCCCUGUUAAUGAUCUGGGAAGAAGCUGCUUCAUUCCUGAAGCCUGUAGGUGGUAGUAAAGGCAGGAGCACAUAGUGAAAUGACACCAAAAUAUUUAGCACCCGGUUUGGUUCCCAGUGGGAGCUGGAUGUGGCCCAUGGGAACACUGACCUGGGGUUUGAAAUAGCAGAUGAAGGUCAGCUUGGGAAAACACAGCUGAUCAGCAAAGGGAAAAGCAACAGAUGGGCCCCAUCAGCUCCAUUCCAGCUCCCAACCCAAAAUACCCAGCAGUGUCUUGGCUUUCUGUGGGGGAAAGAAUCCUGAUCCACUUUCAACCCCACGUUGGUUCAGGCGGUGUUGGAGUCGGCGCUGUUGGGUGCAGCCAUGAGCGGUAGAAGGGAGACGGCCGUUGGAAAUGUGCCAGUAUAAUUUGGGAGCACAGACAGCCCCCAGGCAGCUCUGCCCGUGGUCCAAGUAGAGGCACCAGGGUCAUUUUCAGGCCCAUGACCCGAAAGCCACCGGCAUGAUUGGAAGACGUUCAGGAAGAGCAAUGAAAACAAGCAGAGGUGCAAAGAGAAAGAUUUACAAGGAAAGAUUAAAGGAGCUAAGUGCGAGGGCUUAGCCUAUUGAUGACUCACUGCAGACACGAUGAUAGCUUGCAAAUAUCUGCGGGGUAUUAGCACCAGGAGCCCGCCCUGGGGGGAUGAUUGGGUAUAAUUUAGAGGGACAGGCGGCACAGAAGGGAGGGAAAAUAGAGGAGCUUCAUGAGAGAGCCAGGAGUAUCGGGACACAGAAUAGGCCAGGAGCUGGGCUGUGUGCUGGGAUGUACAUCUCAAGCAUGGAGUGAGCACAGGGUGAGCUGCCAGGCUCUGCACACAGCUGGCCCAUGUCAGCCCCCCAGCGUGAUGGGCUGGCUUGCUGCUGGGGAAAAAAAAGCUGGGCACAAGAGGCAAGCAUUCAUGGAAACACUGGAAGACUGAGCCAGCGGGCAUGGCUGGAAGCUGGGUAAAGCUGUGCCGGACCAGCACUCGUGUGUCAGUCGGGGUGUGCCGUCCAGGUUUUGGAUGGCCAACAUUGCCUGCUCUGCCUGUGCCCUUCAGGAGCUGUGCAGCUCUCCCACAGCUCCCCAGCACCAGGGGCUCUGCUUGGCUUAGACCCUCUUCCCCAUAUCCUGAGCUCUCCCCACACCCUGGGCUCCCCCAGCACCCCACCUUUCCUCCCACACCUUCCAGCCCAGCUCUGCACACAUGCCAUGGCAGGGCUGACCUUUGCCACCUCUGCUCUCUGUCCUUCCCAGACAAAGACUUCCAAUCAUCCCAACUGGCACAAGCAGGGAUCUUUCCAUUUUUUUAUGAUACUGAAUACCACUGGCAACAGGCUCUGGGGUCAGUGAGCACCCUUCCAGCCUCUUCACUGCAUGUCCCCAUGUGUCCUGGUGGCAGCAGGCACAAGGUCACCUCUGGAGACGGGCUGCCACGUGGCGUGGGGGUGUGCCAGCCCCAUCAGCUGAUGCAAACAUCAGGGAUCAGUGCCAGGUGAGGAUGCAGCUGAUUGUGGGGAGGGGACAUCUGAGUGGAUAGAAUGUUGUUUGGAGGGUCCAACCUUGCAUUUGGACCCCCAGGGAGCUCUGCCAAUGGUGCCCACAGUAUAGUUUUCUUAGGAGGGUGGAUGGAUUUUCCUCUACAUCCCUCCUGGGCAGGGAGACCUGGAGAUAGGACCUCUUGCUCACAGAUAGGCAAACAGGUCUUCCUUGCAAAAGGGUGGAUUUAUCCCAAAUUGCCGUGCAUCUGGGCUGGGGGUGGGGACAGGAGGCUGGCAGGGGGCUCUGGUGGUGGUAACAGCUGGGGCCAGGCCUAAACAUGAUUAAUUAACCCUGUAAAAAAAAAAAAAAAAGAGAGACAGAGGGAGACAGAGAGUGAUAGAGAGAAAGAUAACCCAAGUCACAGGCACACUGAAGAUUUAUGGGCCCAGGAGGAUGAGGAGAGCCGGGAUGGAGGAGAAGAAGGAGGGAAGGAGUGCCAAGGAGGUGGAUUACAGUUUAAUGCCUCUUUGUGCUCAACAAUUACAUGAAGGAACCAUAUGAUA